UCCGCCGGUCCUCGUCCAGGAGGUUCGAGGAAUCAAGCAGCUAGCUAGUCUUCUCCCUCUCUACCCGCUGCCUGUUUCUCUCCUCUAGUCCUUCCUUGCCUGAAAAACUACUCAGGCAGCGUCUAUGCAACUUACAGAGCUAUCUGUACUGUCAGCCAAACCACGGCAUACUUCCAUCCCAUGCAUUUAGGUAGAGAAAAACACAGUCCGAUACAAGUACAUAUAUAGCGAAUGAAGCAUAUAUAUAUGAUUAUGAUCCAGAAUCACAUCGCCAAUCAGAGUUCAAGUACGAUAACAAAGAGUGAUGUAUCUGCACUCCAUCAAUCCAGUCAGGAACGAUGACAAGAAAACGGAAAAGAAAUCCAGAAUCCAGGUAUAACUUGGGUGAUCGCACCCUACGUCCUAAUAACACAACAGGAAUGGCAUAACAAGUGUCUUGCCGGUAAAGGAAAGGAAAUUGGCACGAGGUGCUGACAACCUCAUUUGCAGUCCAAACCUCAGGUUCUCACAUCUCCAGUGGCCGAAAGCU
rnacentral:lncRNA from 1 species